GUUGCGGUUAAAAAGCUCGUAGUUGGAUUUCGGCGAUCAGGGGCCGGUGAUAUAUUUGUAUCUACUGGCCCAUUUGGUCGUAUUUUUGAAAGAGGGUUUGGGGUCCCCUUCACUGGGUGUCCUAGGUCGCUUUCAGGUUUACUUUGAAAAAAUUAGAGUGCUCAAACCAGGCUUUAACGCUUGAAUAUUCGUGCAUGGAAUAAUAGAAUAGGAAGUUCGUUUCUAUUUUGUUGGUUUUAGGAUAACGACUUAAUGAUUAAUAGGGACAAUCGGGGGAAUUAGUAUUCAAACGACAGAGGUGAAAUUCUUGGACCGUUUGGAGACUAACUACUGCGAAAGCAUUUUCCAAGAGUGUUUUCAUUAAUCAAGAACGAAAGUUAGAGGUUCGAAGGCGAUCAGAUACCGCCCUAGUUCUAACCAUAAACGAUGCCAGCUAGCGAUCUCAGGGUGCGUAAUACUAAGGCCCCUGAGGGAGCUUCCGGGAAACCAAAGCUUGUGGGUUCCGGGGGAAGUAUGGUUGCAAAGCUGAAACUUAAAGGAAUUGACGGAAGGGCACCACCAGGAGUGGAGCCUGCGGCUUAAUUUGACUCAACACGGGAAAUCUCACCAGGCCCGGACACCGGAAGGAUUGACGGAUUGAGAGCUCUUUCUCGAUUCGGUGGGUGGUGGUGCAUGGCCGUUC
rnacentral:rRNA from 1 species